CUCGGUCAGAAAUCCUCCCACAAUAAUUAAACCGCGAUAAAUUUCCAAAUUUAGCCCAUGACUAUUAAAUUUUCAUUAAUAAAUAGACUUAAUUUACGAAUUAGUGACAUAAUUUCAGUUCUAAAAUGAAGUUAGCCUCGACAUUUUUUAUGCUGUGCGUAAUUUUAAUUGUUUACGCCCAACGACCUGGGUACUUACCAGCUACGGGACCGGUUGGUUAUCCCGAAUUAGCGAGUAGGUUUAAAGAGGAUUUUAUGGUUGACUUUGAACCGGCGGCGGCGCCCCAUAGUGUCUACAGACCGACGCCUUACUGGUGCUAUUGGGAUACGAAAUAUUGCUGAAUUAGUUAAACAAUGUAUCACCAAUUACAUACCUAAUAAAUAAUUGCCGGUAAUGAUUAUGAGCUGGGAAAAAUGAAAAUAUUUAAA